rnacentral:lncRNA from 1 species
UGAAUAUUCAUAGUGGGUUGUGAAAAAGAAGGGAUGAUUUUGUGUUACUAUUUACUCUUAUAAGCUCUAGAAAAGUUGUGGAAAGAAAAUGAAAAAAAAAAUUGUUCAAGAAAAAGAAAAAGAAAAAAAAGAAAAAAAAAAAGAGAGAAAAAGAAAAGAAAAGUGUGAAGUCGAGUGUAUAUUGAGAAAUUUGUUAGAAAAUCGACUUUGUUUGUUGGAAAUAAAU